rnacentral:tRNA from 2 species
GCUGCAGUGCCAGAGAGGCUUAUUGGCUCGGUCUCGAAAUCCGUUGGUUCCAUUAAGGACACGGGGGUUCAAAUCCCUCCUGCAGCG